GAUGAACGCUGGCGGCGUGCUUAACACAUGCAAGUCGAACGGUGAAGCGCCUUCCUUUUUGGUCGGUGUGGAGGAGUGGCGAACGGGUGAGUAACACGUUAGUAACCUGCCCCCUUCUUCUGGAUAACCGCAUGAAGGUGUGGCUACUACGGGAUAUUCUGGGUCUGUCGCAUGAUUGGUCUGGGAAAGAUUUUGUUUCGGUUGUGGAUGGGCCCGCGGCCUAUCAGCUUGUUGGUGAGGUGAUGGCCUACCAAGGCGGUGAGGAGUAGCCGGCCUGAGAGGGUGGGCGGUCAUAGAGGGGAGGAGCGACCGAGCAGACUACGGCGGGAAGCAGCAGGGAAGAAUACGGAAUGGGGGGAGGCAGGAUGGUGCAGCGACGCGGGGUGGAGGAUGGUGGCCGGCGGGUUGUGAUCUUCUUUUGGGAGUGAAGAAGGCCUGAAUCAUUUGUGCGUGGCUUGACGGUAGCUGAAUAAGAAGCGACGGCUAACUACGUG
rnacentral:rRNA from 1 species